rnacentral:rRNA from 1 species
UACGAAGGGGGCGAGCGUUGUUCGGAAUUACUGGGCGUAAAGGGCGCGCAGGCGGCCUUAGAAGUCAGAUGUGAAAGCCCCGGGCUCAACCUGGGAAUGGCAUUUGAUACUCUGAGGCUGGAGUACGGGAGAGGAGAGUGGAAUUUCGUGUGUAGGGGUGAAAUCCGUAGAUCUACGAAGGAACGCCAAAAGCGAAGGCAGCUCUCUGGGUCCCUACCGACGCUGGGGUGCGAAAGCAUGGGGAGCGAACAGG